rnacentral:rRNA from 1 species
UACGUAGGGUGCGAGCGUUGUCCGGAAUUAUUGGGCGUAAAGGGCUCGUAGGCGGUCUGUCGCGUCGGGAGUGAAAACUCAGGGCUUAACCCUGAGCCUGCUUCCGAUACGGGCAGACUAGAGGUAUGCAGGGGAGAACGGAAUUCCUGGUGUAGCGGUGGAAUGCGCAGAUAUCAGGAGGAACACCGGUGGCGAAGGCGGUUCUCUGGGCAUUACCUGACGCUGAGGAGCGAAAGUUUGGGGAGCGAACAGG